UGAGGAAUAUUGGUCAAUGGGCGCAAGCCUGAACCAGCCAUCCCGCGUGAAGGAAGAAUGCGCUACGCGUUGUAAACUUCUUUUCCAGGGGGAGAAUAAUCCUGUCGUGACAGGACUUGACGGUACUCUGGGAAUAAGCAUCGGCUAACUCCGUGCCAGCAGCCGCGGUAAUACGGAGGAUGCGAGCGUUAUCCGGAUUUAUUGGGUUUAAAGGGUGCGUAGGCGGAUUGAUAAGUCAGUGGUGAAAUUCUACAGCUUAACUGUAGACUUGCCGUUGAUACUGUUAGUCUUGAGUGUGGUCAAGGCAGGCGGAAUGUGUAAUGUAGCGGUGAAAUGCUUAGAUAUUACACAGAACACCGAUUGCGAAGGCAGCUUGCUGGGUCAUUACUGACGCUGAUGCACGAAAGCGUGGGGAUCAAACAG
rnacentral:rRNA from 1 species